UUGAUUACCUUGCAUAGAACACUCACGUCUCUCUCAACGUUCUCCAUCGGGGCCUACGUUUAAAUUAGGCAGUGUCUUUGGUUUGCAUGUAGUUCAAUAUCUUGCUGAUGCCUGAGAUUUCCCCAAAUGUGGGAAACUCGACCACAUAAUUUGUGGGAGUGGGGGACUGUGCUCGCCUUUCCCCUG
ensembl:snRNA U1 U1 spliceosomal RNA